GUGCUCACUUUGACAACACAUAUACUAAAAUUGAAACAAUACAGAGAUUAGCAUGACCCCUGCACAAAGAUGACACACAAAUUCAUGAAGUGUUCAUUUUUUUA